rnacentral:rRNA from 1 species
AACGAACGCUGGCGGCAUGCCUAACACAUGCAAGUCGAACGAGACCUUCGGGUCUAGUGGCGCACGGGUGCGUAACGCGUGGGAAUCUGCCCUUCGGUUGGGAAUAACUGAGAGAAAUUUCAGCUAAUACCUUAUAAUGUCUUCGGACCAAAGAUUUAUCGCCGGGGGAUGAGCCCGCGUAGGAUUAGGUAGUUGGUGGGGUAAUGGCCUACCAAGCCGACGAUCCUUAGCUGGUCUGAGAGGAUGAUCAGCCACACUGGGACUGAGACACGGCCCAGACUCCUACGGGAGGCAGCAGUGGGGAAUAUUGGACAAUGGGCGAAAGCCUGAUCCAGCAAUGCCGCGUGAGUGAUGAAGGCCUUAGGGUUGUAAAGCUCUUUUACCCGGGAUGAUAAUGACAGUACCGGGAGAAUAAGCUCCGGCUAACUCCGUG